GUUUGAUUUUCCCUACCAACACUUUCUCGGUCGAGUCUUUCGCACCAAGCUUGUCUAGUGCGGUUUACCUAUGUGACGUGAUUUGCAGGUUAUUGCGUCAACUCGAGGGUUUACCUAGUACGCACCCGAAUGAUAGUAGCUGCGGGUUUGCCCACCAUUAAAAAAAAAAAAAAAUUCAUGUUAGGGGGAUUUGUUUAUAGUCGAGUAAAUUUUUUAGGUUCUAAUUAUUUCUUUUGUCUUCAAUUUGUAUAGGUUACAUUGGAAUUGGCAAUAACAGAAUCUUCCCGUGAGAAGCUACAUCAAUUAAUUGGUAAUAUGGUUACACAUUCAUUGCCGUGAAAAUCUAUCUUGUGGAGAAUUAUACAUUUUAAAUAAAGUAUAAGUUUCAGUUUAUAGAUUCUCCGAUUUAUGAGGCUGUCCUAACUGUAGAACUGUUCAAGAUUGUUAAUUUUUUUGCUUGUGUAUUUGCUAUUGACAGGACAUGACUGUCCAAGAUAUUAAUUUAAAAUCCUUUAGAAAGAUCCCCUUUUUGCUAAUUUCUUCUAUCAUAUUGCCUCGCUUGGAUAUAUCAGAUGCUACUUUCGGCUGAACAAAUUAAUAGAAUUUUUUCUGGAAAAGUUUGUUCUUGUUAUUAUAACCCUUUUGUAAGUACAUGAUGUAAUGGCCCAAAUCCAGUGACGGGAAAGAUGGUCAUGUCAUUAUUUGAAUAUGCUGAGGAGAUGUUUAGAACUUGAAAGAGAUCUGGUAGCUGAAGGAUUGACGAUAAUUGGCAACGAUUACGUGUUUCUAACUAGCAUCACUGUUGGAACUUUCCUGCUGUUGUUAGAAUUGCACAAGCAACUAAUGCUUACCAUACAGCCUUGGUUGGGCGCAGUAGGAUUGGGUCCCCAUGCAAUCCAGCCCCUUUGAAAUCUGACAGUGAAAUGGGGUUCCUAAUAUUUAACUCACUGCCGGAGUUAACGAAUGUUAGAUAUAUGACGUGUGCUGGAGCAGGUUUAGGCAAAAGAAAAAUGGAAAAAGAAACGAGAAUGCCAGAUAGAAAAUUUGCUAAAGAUCUUGAAACCAUGGUCAUGGAAGAUUUGUAUUUGAUAAAAUGAUCAUCCUUGAUAAAUUGGAUGUACCACUGAGAUUGGCAAAAGAUCUGUGGGUGAAACAAAUUGCUUGCACAUGAGAAGUUCAUUUGGAACUUUUCCAAGAUCUUCAUGAUACAAUGAUUCAUAGGACCCGUUUGGCAAGAAUUCUGAAAAGCUAACUCUACUUUUAGACUUGUUUGGUUAGAUUUCUUGAAUAUACUUUGUUAGAAGGGUUUUUAUAGAAAGUUGGAUCAAAUUGGUGUUUUUUU